rnacentral:lncRNA from 1 species
CUCAGAAGCUCCACCUGCACUGCGGGUUUGGAACAGACUGCCUUAGCUUGUUCCGACACCUUCCAUGUCUGCUGCAGAAGUGUAUCUGUAGCUUGACAACGGUAUUCAGGAGGUGACCCAGAUCAUGCUCUCCUUCCAAAGACAGAUCGAUUCCUUGGCAGCUGUGGUGCAUCAGAACCAAUGGAGACUAGAUGUUCUUACAGUGAAAGAAGAGGAAUUGUUCCUGGAGCAAUGCAUACUCAUGGGCUAUUUGAGCAACACUGCUAAGGCUUAAGGGAUUUCUACAUGUGCAGAAACUAAAGACUCCAGCUGGUGGCACUCUUUGGGAGACGCUGGAAACGUUAUGAAGUGGGACCCAUGUGGAAGCAGUGAGUCCUUGAAGAAGGGGGUCCCUGGGAAUAUAUCCCUGCCUCUUUCCUGUAGUGAUCUCCACUUCUAUUCCUCACCACUUCAUCACCUUGCCACGAAGUCCUGCUCAAGAACAUGGGGCAAAGACUCCGUAGAUGGAACUCUCUGGAACAGUGACCUCAAAUAAAUAUUUCCUCUUUAAAUUUUU